rnacentral:rRNA from 1 species
UACGAGGGGGGCGAGCGUUGUUCGGAAUUAUUGGGCGUAAAGGGCGCGUAGGCGGUCGGAUAAGUCUUGUGUGAAAUCUUCGGGCUCAACUCGAAGUCUGCACAGGAAACUAUCUGGCUUGAGUGUGGGAGAGGUGAGUGGAAUUCCUGGUGUAGCGGUGAAAUGCGUAGAUAUCAGGAGGAACACCUGUGGCGAAGGCGGGUCUCUGGGCAAUAACUGACGCUGAGGAGCGAAAGCGUGGGGAGCGAACAGG